CACGUCAGCGCGAUUUGCUGACAUGGCAACAAACCGCGCCCUCUAGGACGCGAUUUGCUGCCACGUCAAUAAAUCGCGCUGACGUGG
rfam:Gossypium hirsutum cultivar TM-1 chromosome 7, whole genome shotgun sequence